rnacentral:rRNA from 1 species
UACGUAGGGGGCAAGCGUUAUCAGGGUUUACUGGGUGUAAAGGGAGCGUAGACGGCAGGUCAAGUCUGAAGUGAAAGCCCGCGGCUCAACUGCGGGACUGCUUUGGAAACUGGUCAGCUGGAGUGUCGGAGGGGCAAGCGGAAUUCCUAGUGUAGCGGUGAAAUGCGUAGAUAUUAGGAGGAACACCGGUGGCGAAGGCGGCUUGCUGGACGAUAACUGACGUUGAGGCUCGAAAGCGUGGGGAGCAAAC